rnacentral:lncRNA from 1 species
UAGACACAUCUGCUUCUGACUUCUUCUGCCUCUCUCUUGAACAUGUAAAGACAUUUGUGAUGAAAAUGGGCCCACACAGCAUAAAAAUCAGCAAAGUUGAAAACUGACCUGCUGGGCGCAGUGGCUCACACCUGUAAUCCUGGCACUCUGGGAGGCCGAGGCGGGUGGAUUUCCUGAGCUCAGGAGUUUGAGACUAGCCUGGGAAACAUGGCGAAACCUCAUCUCUACUAAAAAUACAAAAAACUAGCCGGGCAUGGUGGUGUGUGCCUGUAAUCCCAGAUACCCAGGAGACUGAGGCAGGAGAAUCGCUUGGACCAAGACAGCGGCACCGCACUCCAACCUGGGAGAUGGAGCAAGACUGUCAAAAAACAAAACAAAAAAACCUACUAGAAGCAAGGCUGUGAGCAGAAAACUAAAAACUGAAACAGAAACCACAAUUUUCCAAAUGCUACUGUUACUUACAAAAUAAGAAAGCAUUAUACUAAAUCAAUAUCUAGGACACAAACUAAGUUCAAACUCAACAACAGUGUAUUUAGAUUUACAUAUAUCAAGAAGAAACCAUUAAUACAGUGAACUAACAUUAACUCUAUACAGAAGUAUAUUUUUGAAAAUAAGAAAACUGCUUCUUUGAGUAACUUGUUUGGUUGACAUAUUCUGACAAAUCUUGUAACCAAGGUAAGUCCUCCAUAUUCUGUAAGUAUCUUUCACUGACUCCUCCAUGAUCUACCUCAUGGAUCUCCUGGUUUUCAUUCUCCACUGCUACAAAAAACCAAUAUAUCCAACUCUGUUCAACUGCAGGUAUGUUGCUAAUGGUCUUUGUUUAGUGGGCUUUAGCAAGUAUAGGUCCUACAGAAAUUUGUCUGACACCCUCACUGCCAUAGACAAGUACUUAGUUGCAGAUGUAAAUAUGAGACUCCUUUAGUAUUUAUGUAUUUAAAGCACCACUAGAAACUAUUCCAAAUGUCCAUCAAGACUAGAAUCGAUAAAUGUGUUGUGGCAUAUUUAUAUAAUGCCAUAUCAUAUAAUAAUGAUGAUAGACAACUACAGCACAUAGCAACAUGGAUGAUUAUCAUAAACAAUACUUAGAGAAUCAGACACACAAAAAAUACAUACUAUAUGACUACAUUUCUAGAAAGUUUCUAAAUAAGAAAAGUUCAU